rnacentral:rRNA from 1 species
UACGAAGGGGGCUAGCGUUGUUCGGAAUUACUGGGCGUAAAGGGCGCGUAGGCUGUGCUGUAAGUCAGGCGUGAAAGCCCCGGGCUCAACCUGGGAAUUGCGCUUGAUACUGCGGCGCUGGAAGGUGGGAGAGGAUGGCGGAAUUCCCAGUGUAGAGGUGAAAUUCGUAGAUAUUGGGAAGAACACCGGUGGCGAAGGCAGCCCCCUGGGCUAACACUGACGCUCAGGCACGAAAGCGUGGGGAGCAAACAGG